rnacentral:lncRNA from 1 species
AGGAUGUAGAAGCUUCAGAAGAUAAAGCCAACGAGCCACAUGAGAUUUUGGUAAGUCUGUCUGUACUGACAAGAACAUUCAAGAUGCUAGAAAGACCACAGUGACAAAGCAAAGUGAAGACAACUGCAUCACAAUGAAAUCCACUACUCUGUCUAGAGUGAACAAGUUAAACAGUCGGAGGGACAGCCCUGAGUGCCAGCGUCAAAGACUCGCACCAACCAGUGUGGAUAUUAGCAGAGACUGAGUGACCCCAACACUUCAUGUGGUAAAAGUGCUGUAGAAAGUUAAAUACUUCCUUGGAAAAAGUGGAGAAGAAGAUACUUUAACAGCACAAUGCAGUCAAAUGUCUGCUGAGAUAGAUACUGGCAUGGAAGAAGGGCCAGCAGCACAGCCCCAGGACAGCAGUAGCACCCACAAUCAGUAGAAGCACCGUGAGUGUGAGUAAACAUCUGCACGGGUGGAUCCCCAUGCUGAGGCCCGGAAUCCCAGAAGACGACAACCAUUCACGGAUGUUGGGCUAAGAUUAGGCUUCCCCUCUCCUCCUCCUUCUCUAAGAUUAGGCUUCCCCUCUCCUCCUCCUUCUCCUUCUCCCUCUUAUUCUUUACAAACAUUCAAGUAAAACACUCAUGCAUAUGAAAUGCUAAGUAGUCUAAAUAAAACUUUUCUUCCAUGUUUUAA